rnacentral:misc_RNA from 1 species
AUGGUCUCAAAGCAUUGGAGAUGUUGCUAAAUCAAACACUCAUCCAUACACACAAUCAAAAUAUUAAAUUUUAAUUUUACUCUCAAGUUUCCAUAAAAGUAUACAUCGUACAUACAAGAACAGAACAACAUCUAAUUAAAUUACAAAAUAAAAAGCUUGUAAUGGCAGCUGGGGUUGUAUCGAAUUCAACAAUAGGCUCUUAUUUUUGAGAAUAUCUCCUUGUAUAGGAAGUAGCUUGUUCAAUCUCACCUGCAAGCUGCAAAUACAAUAAUAUAUAUAUGAAUAAAAAUCAAUAGUUUUCCAAGAAUUGCAAAUGUUUACAUAAGAAUAAAUUAUAAACAAGAAAAAAAUAAUUGGUGUAUAUAUAUAAUUACAUGUGAUAAUGUGACAAUUAAAUAUAAAUUAUUAAAUAAAUAUUACUCUUUAAUUCCUUACAAAUAUAACAGGCGAGGGGCACAAUAAAUUCAAAAUAAAAUUUAUAUAAAAAUAAAUAAAUACAAAAAUUUAUGUAUUAGAUAAAAGCUCAUAAACUAAUAAUAAAGUUGAAAAUAAAUUAAAGUAGGAAUAUCAAAGUUUCUUUUUUUUUUUCUGCAAAAACAAUUAUACAAGUAUUUAAUUUGAAAAAGAAAAAUGAAAAAUCACAAUUUACCACCGCGAAGAACGGGAAGCAACGCCUGUAUGUAUCCAAGUUAACUUGUAUUAACCUAACAACUGCCACCACCACCGCCACCACCACCGCCUCAACAACCGCCACCACCACAUCCGCCACCACCGCCUCCACAACCGCCACCUCCACAAACACCUCCGCCACCAACACCGCCACCAUAACCAUGCUUCCUCUUGUGAGGUUUGCCAGAACCAGAACCACAGGCAAAAACAAUAGCUGAUAUAAUUGAGAGAGACAAAGCGAACAUCCAAAGCAAGAGAAAGGGUUGAGAGAAGUGUAGCAGAAGGCCUACGGCAGCUUCACCUCCACGGCCGUUUGCUAAAGUAAGAGUAUGUCUCGCCAUCUUUUGGUUGCCUUAUCACCUCAUACCCUAAUGCAAUUACCUUAGCUUCAUAGAUAUAUUUCUAUUAAGGUUGACAUUUCAAAGA